UACGUAGGGGCUAGCGUUGUUCGGAGUUACUGGCGUAAGGGUGUGUAGGCGGUUGUUUAAGUUUGGUGUGAAAUCUCCCGGCUCAACUGGGAGGGUGCGCCGAAUACGUGAAUGACUUCGAGUGCGGGAGAGGAGAGUGGAAUUCCUGGUGUAGCGGUGAAAUGCGUAGAUAUCAGGAGGAACACCGGUGGCGAAGGCGGGUCUCUGGGCCGUAACUGACGCUGAGGAGCGAAAGCGUGGGGAGCGAACAGG
rnacentral:rRNA from 1 species